rfam:Erinaceus europaeus unplaced genomic scaffold scaffold00321, whole genome shotgun sequence
GUCUACAGCCAUACCACCCUGAACACACCCGAUCUCAUCUGAUCUCGGAAGCUAAGCAGGGUCGGGCCUGAUUAGUACUUGGAUGGAGAAAAAGAAAGAUAAGGGGCCAGGUGGCAGCGCACC